rnacentral:lncRNA from 1 species
UUCGUCCUUCUCAAUUGUCCUCCCAAGUUUUCGAUCCCACUGUCCCCUGCAAUGAACAUCUUGUAUUAUUAACGUGCUUAGAACUUCAACACUUCUCAAUUUCUUUUGGAAGAUUCUUAAGUUCCACUCUUUCCAUAAGUAGUACACACAUCCUGUCAUUGUUAAUCUGUAGAUUCCAACUUUAGUAUUCUUUGUUAGAGUUAAUCCACGAUGUAGUUAGGUAGUUCC